rnacentral:rRNA from 1 species
GAUCCUGGCUCAGGAUGAACGCUGGCGGCGCGCCUAACACAUGCAAGUCGAACGGCACCCCUCUCCGGAGGGAAGCGAGUGGCGAACGGCUGAGUAACACGUGGAGAACCUGCCCCCCUCCCCCGGGAUAGCCGCCCGAAAGGACGGGUAAUACCGGAUACCCCGGGGUGCCGCAUGGCACCCCGGCUAAAGCCCCGACGGGAGGGGAUGGCUCCGCGGCCCAUCAGGUAGACGGCGGGGUGACGGCCCACCGUGCCGACAACGGGUAGCCGGUUGAG